rnacentral:rRNA from 1 species
CUGUGCAAAGGUAGCAUAAUCAUUAGUUUUUUAAUUAAAGGCUUGUAUGAAGGGUUGGACAAAGAAUAAUCUGUUUCUGUUUUUAUUUUUGAAUUUAACCUUUAAGUGAAAAGGCUUAAAUAAAUUUAAGGGACGAUAAGACCCUAUAAAUCUUUAUAUUAAACUGUUUUCAAUUAAUUAAUAUUGUAAAUAUAAUAAUAAAAUAGUAAAUAUUAUGUUGGGGUGAUGAGAAUAUAAGAAAUAACUGUUCUAAAAUUAAAACAAAACUGUUUGUAACAAUUAAUAGAUCCUUUAUAAAGAUUAAAAGUUUAAGUUACUUUAGGGAUAACAGCGUUAUUUUUUUUGAGAGUUCUUAUCGAAAAAAAAGUUUGCGACCUCGAUGUUGAAUUAAAAUUUCUUUGCGGUGUAGCCGUUGCAAAAGAGAGUCUGUUCGACUUUUAAAUUUUU